GCUGUGCCUGUGUUCGGGGCGAGCGUUCUAGCACAUCGAGCGGCGUACAGAGAACCGGGCGCACUUCCAGGCGCAGUUAUGGUCCCGGCGUGUUCACGCCCCGAUGUUUUGAAGGCAACUGCAGCGUAAGCGAAGCUGAAGAUCUGAGCAGCCAAAGCAUCUAUUCCUGCUUCAAGGAGCUCCACCAAUUGUGUCAUUGAUCGUGUCUAGAAAUUAAUUCAUCUAGACUCGUCGAUGUCCCAUGUAUCACAUAUACAUACAUACACAUAUACAUGUUUGCAGUUUUAUAUGAAAACGUUUGUCGAGUGUUGCACUGGGAUGCGCUUCCUUAGCAGAUAAGACGACAACAAUGCAUUGCUUAGAAAUUCUUGAAAUAAUUAUUUUUAGACGAAUACCGAUAUGAGUGGAAAUUCGAAAUACUGGAAAUGCAUUUCUACUUUCA